GACUAGUGGCCGAGUGGUUAAGCCAAUGGACUGCCAAUCCAUUGUGCCCCACAUGUGUGGGGUUUGAAUCCCAUCCUCA